AGGACAUUUCCUGUUCGGCCUCUGGAAGUUCUAGCCAAAAGUUACAAAACAUCCUUUUCUCUGUGCCCAAGCGCUGGUGGGAGGAGGGAGAGCCUGCCAGCCAGUCCCCGCCGCAGGUGGGGCGAAGCGAGCCGCUGCGGAGGGACAGUGUCUGACUUGGCAAAAAGCAUCCCUAAAUACUGUCAGCUGUGAGCAGAUUCGGAGAAGUGACUGGCUAGAAAGAGCCCUGAGAAACCAGAGCCUGGCUGGUCGCCCCCUGCCUUGUGUGUUUCUGGCCGGAGGGUGAUCCUCUCCCUCCCAUCCGUGGUUCUCCAGCCCUGGCAAUACUAAGGAAGAGACUUUCUAGUCUUGGAGACCUCAAAGAAACAUGAGUGGACAGAAACAAUUGAAGACCAGAGCAGACAAGCAUGUGACAAGGCAGGAACGGAGGAGUCUGUAUGUUGGUCGUCAGCACAGGGCCUUCUGAAUUUUCCAUGGCUUGACUUUCUGGCUAAUCAUUCCUGGCUCCAUAAUUGCUGGCAGCUGACCCUGGGCUUGCCAGCCACCUGCCCAGCAGCCCGAGAACUGCGCCAGCUGCAGCCAGCUGCUGAGGUCCUCAGUCUAAAGAAGACCGUAGGGAGCAUGCUGGUUGCCUGCCCACCCAGCUGCCGGAUGUGUGAUUGUCUUAUUCUGUUUCCUGGGCUCCCAGGUUGGGCUCUCCAGAGCCUGCAGAACUCAUGUGAGCACACACCGCUCAUCCCCUAGCAUGGCUUGAGAGCUAGCCACCAUUGCUCGAGCUAGUACAGAUGCUAGAGGUGUAAGCAAGAAACGCCUGGGUGUGCUUAGCAAGCAAGCAGUUGUCAGCUCUCAAGGCUCGCACCAGCCCAGUCUGAAAAAGGCCUUUAAUGGCUUCAAGAGUCACGUGCCCUAGAGCUGAAACAGGUCUGAAAGACUGCUUUAAGUUCCCACUGAUAGGCCUGGGUUCUUGACCACUUCCUGGGUUUGCUGUCUGCUCUGUUACUUCUCAAUGGGGUGAGGGAGUCAGAACUGUGAAUACAAAUCAAGUCUUAGUGACAAAUGCUUUUCAUUCCCCCUCCCUCAGAACCAUGGUAGUGGGAUUGGAAGUGAGGUCUGCAGCUGCCCCAGGACCUUAGGCUAAGAGUUAACAUCCCAAGUGCUUGGAUGGUUGAGUUGCAGGCAGGUGCGAUCUCUGAAAACAAGGAAAUUACCCCUUUAUGUCAGUCAGUCACACAAGGGGGCCCUGUGCCUGACACAUAGCUACAGGGCUGACAUGCACUGAAAACACAACCUAAAAGAAGCUUUAGAAAUUACUUUGUCUUUCUCUGCACAGAGAGGCUAAGUGAGGGCAGCAGGUAGCUGUCACCAUGCUAGAAAAGCAGGAUCCCAGGUCUCCAGGGCGUGGCUUCCCUUGGAAACUGCCACUCCGGUGUGACAUUUACAUCACCUUAAAAUAGGGAACAAAGACUUUUGAGGGGGCAGAGUUUGGCCUUGCUAAUUUUAGCCCCACAGAAGAUGACUAGGGGGAAGUUAAGAAGGGUGCUUUGGUAGAACUGGCCUUCAACGAAGGGGCUUGUCUGGAAACUCCACCAAAAAGGUUGAUGCAGGCAAGCAUGUAACCCCCCUACCCCCACAACACACACCUACACACACACACACACACACACACACACACAC